rfam:Musa acuminata subsp. malaccensis Doubled-haploid Pahang (DH-Pahang) genomic chromosome, chr7
GAUGCUAUGAUGAGUAUAAGAACCGGGUGUGGGCAGUGGCGGUGAUAUAUGUUGUCAUCGCCGUGAGCCAUUCUCACCAACUAAACGACUUCUCCUUCCACUGAGCUCC